rnacentral:tRNA from 1 species
UACUUAAAUAGCUUAUAGUUAGAGCAUGAUAUUGAAGAUAUCAGGGAAGUAGUUUACUUUUAAGUAU